CUAAUACCGGAUAAGAUAUCGAACCGCAUGGUUCGAUAGUGAAAGAUGGUUUUGUCUAUCACUUAUAGAUGGACCCGCGCCGUAUUAGCUAGUUGGUGAGGUAACGGCUCACCAAGGCAACGAUACGUAGCCGACCUGAGAGGGUGAUCGGCCACACUGGAACUGAGACACGGUCCAGACUCCUACGGGAGGCAGCAGGA
rnacentral:rRNA from 1 species